rnacentral:lncRNA from 10 species
CUACUCACAAGAAUAUGGAUGAAUCUACAAGCAUAAUGUUGAGUGAAGGAAGCUGGAUAUGAAAGGGGAAGUUGUAAAAUGGCAUUUAUUUAAAGUUGAAAGUUUGGGGAAACGACUUUAUGUGAUUAGACGUUGGGAUAGUGCUUGCCCCUGAGGGGUGCGGCUGGAUGGAGGCAUGAGAGGCCUGGAGAGCAUGGUCUAAUAAACAGAGAAGGCUCAGGAGGGUCAGAAACACGGUGCCUCAUUUCUCAGCCUACUUGCCAAGAAUUCCCAAAAAGGAAGCACUGGAGGAUCAUUCCAAGGCUUGAGGUCCAGGACUACCCACUUCCCUUGGAAUGGUGUUGCCAUCACUGUUCUGGCACCGGAGGUAAGGAUUCUACAUCGUUAGGAGAAAAGAAAAAGGAGAAUUUGGGCUUGCACUGAGAGGAUUACCUUUGGUGGUCUGGAAGUGGUGGGGUUGCAGCAUUGAAGGCACCAUCUUGGAAGCAGAGACUAGACCCUCACCAAGCAAUUAACAUGCUGGUGCAUUGAUCUUGGACUUUCCAGCCUCCAGAACUGUGAGAAAUAAAUUUCUGUUCUUAAUUAAUUACCCAGUCCCAGGUAUUCUGUUAUAGCAGCACAAAGCUUAGACGGGCUCCUUACAUCUUGAGGCUCCAUUAUCUCCUGGGAACUGGGAGUCCUUAGGUUCUAGCCAUGGAAAGAGAAACAAAAGAUGGAGAAGGCACACAUGCUUCUUAAUGGUCGUGGUUCAGAAGUAACAAAUACUAAUUCUAUAUAUUCUACUGGCUCAACACAAAUGCAGGGGUGUGCUGGGAAUGGAGUCUCUGAUUGGGCAGCAGGGAUCAGGGAUCAAAGAUCAGGAAAUAUUCCAGGGUGAAUAUUUUACUAGGUGAGGAGGACCAUGAAUUUUGACAAACAGCCUUUGCUGCUCUACCCACUCCUCAUCAUCACUGUUAGACACAAAGAGAAAUGGCAGCACUUUUUGUCCAUUGAUUGUAACUCUUUCUUUAAAGACUUUUAAGGCAGAAUCUCAAUUCAUCUCUUCUAUGAAACUUUCAUGAUUCAAAGGGAAGUCCCUGCAUGGACACUGCCAGCUUCAUUGCACUUCUGCCUCUAUGCUUUUUCCUGAACCUUCUCCACCUCUGGAACGUACUUCAGGCUGCACAGGGAGCAUGGCUGGGAGGCCUCAGGAAACUGACAAUCAUCAGUAGAAGAUGAAGAGGAAGGAGGCGCAUCUUACAUGGCCAGAGAAGGAGGAAGAAUAAGAAGGGGAGAGUGCAGAGAGGAGGCGAGACCAAGCCUGCCCAGAGUUGGAGUCUUGAGACGUGAGAUUCUCCAGCUGGAGCCCUAUAAAUUGGACUGACAAAAGACAGAUUAGCAAGAGAAAUGCAAGCAGCAGUUUAUUAACAUGUGCAUCAUGAUUACACAUGGAAGUACCCAGAGGCAGAAUUAAAGAUUCAAGAUGUACCUACUUCUUCCGGGGACAACAUUCAUGAUUCUUAAAGAUUUCACAAGUGUACCUUCUAAGGUAAAUUAUAAACAGUGCCAAAGAAUUUGCUUCACCGCAUGCCUAUAGGGUUGUGAAUCAGGCUUAACUCUUCCUCCCCCACCCCCAUUCCCCCAUUCCCAUCUCACCUGACAUCUUCCUUUGACCUACUUUUUCAGAAAUCAAAGAAGUAAUCUUAGGUGGUGAUUUGAAGUCCCACGCCAUUUGUACUUGCUCCUCUUAAUCUACUCUGCUUUCUGUUCCUUCUUUCUACUGCCCAGGGUAAGUGGCUGGAAGUAGUAAGAGGUCAAUGCCAAGUGAAAUCCUCUGGCGUUUUCUUCUGACAACCAGGAGUCUGCAAAGUGAGUUUGCUGGGAGCGUCCAGUUUUUUCAGCUUAACGUUAGGUGUACUUUCUGUCUUCGGCACAAAUUGUUUCCAAAUGCCUGUGGGUUGCAAUAUGAUUUUCCCAUCUUGAAAAUCUAUUAAAAAGGAAGAGAUUCUUCACUUCUCCCCACCCCACCUCCAGGCACUGCAGAUGGCGAUUAACACCCUACACAGCCCCUCCCCAUAGCAUCAUCGAUUUUCUGCCUGCAUUGCAUCUACUUCACAGUUCGAGACAUGCCAAAUCACACACGUUCUAAGUACUUGUUGCUAGCAACAAAUCUCUGUUCCUCAGUGGCCAAGCAGACUAUAUUUGGAAUGUCAGAGCACCUAGCCCUUCCCUGGCCCACUUCCUUUAGCUCAGAAGUCUCCAAGCCUGAAAGUAACCUCACCCGUGUUUCCUUGAGUUCUGCUUGUUGAAGCAACUCUUUGGAUUAACUCCGCAAAACACAAAGUGACAGCAAAACAGAGAAACAAUCAGAUUCUUUUCCAUGAACUCCUUUCUUUUCUAUAAAAGUGUUAUUAAUCCCUAUCUUAUGGGACAAUUGUGAAUGUAUUUAAUGAGCUCAUCAAAAUAUACAUACACAUACAUAUAUAUAUAGAGGGGGGGGGUUGGGGGGAGAGAGAGAGAGAGAAAGAGAGAGAGUCUCACUCUGUGGCCCAGGCUGGAGUGCAGUGGCACAAUCUCAGCUCGCUGCAACUUCCAUCGUCUCCCAGGUUCAAGCAAUUCUCCUGCCUCAGCCUCCCAAGUAGCUGGGAUUACAGGCGCUCGCCACCAAGCCCAGCUAAUUUUUUUUAUUUUUCUUUUUGGAGACAGAGUCUCGCUCUGUUGCCCAGGCUGGAGUGCAAUGGGGCAAUCUCGGCUCACUGCAACCUCCGCCUCCCGGGUUCAAGCAUCCUGCCUCAGUCUCCCUAGUAGCUGGGACUACAGGCAAAUGCUGCCAAGCCAGGCUAAAUUUUUUUGUAUUUUAAUAGAGAUGGGUUUCACCGUGUUGCCCAGGCUGGUCUCGAACUCCUGAGCUCAGACAAUCCACCCGCCUCGGCCUCCCAAAGUGCUAAGAUUACAGGCAUGAGCCACUGUGCCCGGCCUAAUUUUUGUAUUUUUACUAGAGACCGGGUUUUGCCAUGUUGGUCAGGCUGGUCUCACACUCCUGACAUCAGGUAAUCUGCCGACCUCAGCCUCCCAAAGUGCUGGGAUUACAGGCAUGAGCCACCUUGCCCAGCCUGAGCUCAUCAAAAUAUUAAAACUAGUGCAUUUUUAAUGGCAGUGUAGACCUAGCACAUGGCUGGCAGUGUAUAACUGCCAGGUGUUUCUCCUCUUUUCCUCACCCUUUCUCUCUCUUUUUUAUUGAGGUGAAAUUCACAUAACAUAAAUCAAAUCAUUUUAAAGUGAACAAUUAAAUGGCAUUUUAUACUUUCCCAGUGUUGUGCAAUCACAUCUCUAUCUAGUUCCUAAAUAUUUCCAUCCCCCCCAGAAGGAAACGCAUCCCCUUUAACCACUCUCCAUUUCCCUCUCCUCAGCCUUCACAAACAACAAUCGACUUCCUGUCUCCAUGCAUUUACCUGUUCUGGUUAUUUUAUAUAAAUGGAUUUAUAUAAUAUGUGUCUGGUUCCAUUCACUUAAUGUAAUAUUUUUGAGGUUUUUUCACCUUGUAUCACGUUUUGGUAAUUCAUUUCUUGUUAUAUCUGAACAAUAUUCUGUUGUAUGAAUAUACCACAGUUUGUUGUCUAUUUAUCUAUGGAUGAACAUUUGGGCUGUUUCACCUUUUGAUGUUUGUAAAUUGUAAGUAGUGCUGCCAUGAACACAUAUGUACAUGUAUUGGUUUGAGUGCCUGUUUUCAAUACUUUUGAGUAUAUAACUAGGAGUGAAAUUGGUAUUCACCCUUUUUUUUCUGUUACUUCUCUUAAUGAUCUCAUGUCUGCGUGAUCCUUAAUGAUGCCCCGUUUUAAAAUUCCUGACAUUGUUUGUCACUAGGUCAUUUGUCUCUAGUUUAACUGAUCAAUCUUGACAGCAAUUUUUCACUUUUAUUAGUAUUUUAAGGAAUCAGCCUGUGGUUUUGAGAAUCUUGUCUGCUUAUACAUUUGAAUUAGUUACAAUGAUUGCUUUCUCUUUGGAUUUGUUUCGCCACUCCUUUGGUAAUGUCCGGAGAGAGCUUCUUAACUGACACGAACGGGGCUCCAUUGGUAUGUCCUGGGAUCCCUCGUCAGGCCUGUGCACUCCCAGACCUCCAAGGGCCGGGACCUGCAUUUUUGUCCGAGGGCCGUCCCCAGGCUGCCUGAACUUACUUAGCCUAUGGGCAUAGUGGGCUGGAGGUGCCUGGGAACUAACAGCGCCAGAGGAAACCUUUAACUAAAGACCAAAGGCUGUCAGGGUGUAAAUACUCUUCUUGCCCUUCGGCUGAGAUAAUUCUGAAGCAUAUUUUACUUAGUUUUCUAGAGUUCUUCUUGGUAAUUAAUGCAAUCAAGCUCCAGUCUCCUGCUGUGAUGACUGCCUUCAUAACAUACCCUUUAUUAUUUAUCUGUCUUCCCUCCGUAUCUCACUUCCUACCUGUUCCUACUUGUCUAUUUCCCUGUGAGGGACUGAACUGUGAGCCCCUCAGAUUCAACGUACGAAGCCCCUAAAUUUAUUUGUUCGAGUCUGAAGCCAAAGUACCUAAGAAUGUGGCUUUAUUUGGAGAUACAGCUUUAAAGAGGUGAUGAAAUUAAAAUGAGAUCAUGAAGGUACACUCUAAUCCACUAUGACUGGUGUCCUUAUAAGAAGAGAUUAGGACACAACACACACAGAGGGAAUCCCAUGGGCAGACACAGGGAGAACACAGACAUCUGCAAGCCAAGGGCAGGAGCCUCAGAAGAAACCAAACCUGCUGACACCUUGAUCUCAGAUUUCAGCCUCCAGAAAUGUGAGAAAAUAAAUUUCUGUUGUUUAAGCCACCUAGCCUGUGAUACUUUGUUACGGCAGCCCAAGCUAAUUAAUUCACUCCCAAUUAAACUGUUCGCCCUUGAAUCCUUGGCUCAAGGUCUGCUUCUGGGGAACCCAAGCUAAGAUUCAAAGUUUAUUGAUUUUUUUCAGUGUUUCUUCUUUUCUAAAUAUGCAUUUGAAGCUAUAAAUUCCCUUCUAAGCAAGGCUAACACUCUGAUAUGUAGUAUUUGAUAGUGUAAUGAUAAGUAUUUGUAGUAUAAUGGUAAGCUUUGAUAUGUAGUAUUAUUAUUUAAUUUGAAGUAUUUUCCAUUGCAAUUUCUAUUUAACCUGUGGCUUAUUAUAACUCAGAAGGGUUUCACAUUGGCCUUAUAGAUGCUCCAGCCAUGUGUGUCACUUCUGCUCACAACUCAAAUGACCAGAACUAGCCACAGGGCUCCACCCAGCCACAGGGGAGCAGAAAGCACAACCUACCGUGUUGGUGUUGCAUAGAACAUCUUUCUACAUGUUUCCUCUUGCGUAGGUGCUAGAAUUGCUUUAGAAUAGGCUAUAAACCUGGGGGUGGAGUCACUAAGUCAUCUUAUUAAACCCAUCUUCCAUUUUAUUAGAAAUUGCCAAGCUGCUUUCCAAAGCGGUUGUGUGAGUACACAUAUUGCCCAUGCACAUUGUUCUGCACCUUCACAACCCUUCAUAUUAUCAGACUUUUAAAAUUUUUUGGCAAUUUUGGAGGCAUGAAACAGUAUCCUUUUGCAUUUUAAUUUUCAUUUCCCUGACUAAUAGGCAGGUCAGGUUUGUUUGUUUGUUGUUGUUGUUGUUUGAGACGGAGUCUUGCUCUGUCACCAGGCUGGAGUGCAUUGGCACGAUCACAGCUCACUGCAACCUCCACCUCCUGGUUUCAAGCAAUUCUCCUGCCUCAGCCUCCCAAGUAGCUGGGACUACCGGCACCUGCCACCACGCCCAGCUAAUUUUUGUAUUUUUAGUAGAGACGGGGUUUCACCAUGUUGGCCACGAUGGUCUCUUGACCUCAUGAUCCACCCA